rnacentral:rRNA from 1 species
AGAUGGCGACCGGCGCACGGGUGAGUAACACGUAUCCAACCUGCCGAUAACUCGGGGAUAGCCUUUCGAAAGAAAGAUUAAUACCCGAUGGUAUAAUUAGACCGCAUGGUCUUGUUAUUAAAGAAUUUCGGUUAUCGAUGGGGAUGCGUUCCAUUAGGCAGUUGGUGAGGUAACGGCUCACCAAACCUUCGAUGGAUAGGGGUUCUGAGAGGAAGGUCCCCCACACUGGAACUGAGACACGGUCCAA